rnacentral:rRNA from 1 species
GACGAACGCUGGCGGCGUGCCUAAUACAUGCAAGUCGAGCGAAYKGACGAAGAAAGCUUGCUUUCUUCUGAUGUUAGCGGCGGACGGGUGAGUAACACGUGGGCAACCUGCCCUUUAGUUUGGGAUAACUUCGGGAAACCGGAGCUAAUACCGAAYAAUACUCYAAGCCUCAUGGUUUGAAGUUGAAAGACGGUUUCGGCUGUCGCUAAAGGAUGGGCCCGCGGUGCAUUAGCUAGUUGGUGAGGUAACGGCUYACCAAGGCAACGAUGCAUAGCCGACCUGAGAGGGUGAUCGGCCACACUGGGACUGAGACACGGCCCAGACUCCUACGGGAGGCAGCAGUAGGGAAUCUUCCACAAUGGACGAAAGUCUGAUGGAGCAACGCCGCGUGAGUGAUGAAGGAUUUCGGUUCGUAAAACUCUGUUGCAAGGGAAGAACAAGUAGCGUAGUAACUGGCGCUACCUUGACGGUACCUUGUUAGAAAGCCACGGCUAACUACGUGCCAGCAGCCGCGGUAAUACGUAGGUGGCAAGCGUUGUCCRGAAUUAUUGGGCGUAAAGCGCGCGCAGGUGGUUUCUURAGUCUGAUGUGAAAGCCCCCGGCUCAACCGGGGAGGGUCAUUGGAAACUGGGAGACUUGAGUGCAGAAGAGGAUAGUGGAAUUCCAAGUGUAGCGGUGAAAUGCGUAGAGAUUUGGAGGAACACCAGUGGCGAAGGCGACUGUCUGGUCUGUAACUGACACUGAGGCGCGAAAGCGUGGGGAGCAAACAG